rnacentral:miRNA from 12 species
GAUGAGUGUAGGUCUGGUGCACA